UAACUUUUAUAGCUUACUAUCAUUGCAUGUGUCCUGUAUGAGUUAUUGUAUAUUAUAUGAAUUUGUGUCCGGUGGACAAAUAAAAUGGGGUUGUUUUCCUUACAGCAUAUCCUUACAACGGCACUUUUAAAGCAUUCUCAUUUUACCACACCUUGUAUUUUAACUCGCUUGUCUCUAACAAGUGCCUUUUAAUGUCCAUUACAGAAAUUUUCCUUGCUACAUCCAGCCUUAUCUGUCAUGGACAUGCAGUUUUCCCACUUUGUCUCUCUAUAUUUGUUUCUCAUACUCCUAGUUCCCGACUCUGCUCACCCCACACACCUUCCUGCAAUCGGCUCAUCGCCCCUCCCUGCCUACACACAUACCACCAUCAGUUCAUCAGCUUUGCAGUACUACGGAUCUUCACCCAUCCAGUGACAGAUUGUUAAAACGGAUCUUUCCUCGUCUGCUUGACUGCAGUACUCAUCCUCAUGCCAUUCCUGCCUGUCCAUGCCAUUCGCCAUGUGUGUUCUACUACCAGCCAUCUUCUGCAAAUAAAUCUCACCUUUUAUAUCUUUGUCUUUUUUUUUCUACUCUUAGGUCCACCCUGCAACACUGUCACAGAUGAAGCUUUUUGUAAUACAAAGUUAUGUUUACCCACACUGGAAAUAAAUUUCAUUAAAUUGGCGCCAUAUGAUUGUUAUGUAUAUAAUCUAUUAUUUUUUAUUUUUUUAUUUGCUCUCCAUGGCAAUGUACAUACAUUUAGCUUUUUUAUGUUAGUGACAUGUAUGCACCAACCACAUUUGAUGCGAAUCUGACACAAUUAUCCACACAGAGGAACAUCCCUUCCUACUGUAAUGUUCCUCUAUUUGCUGUGUCCUGAAUGUGCAGAGCCUAAAUCUGUUUAAGUAGCCUGCUCACCUGUGGCAAACCCUUGCGGAGAAGGCUCAUGUGAAUGCAUCGUUCCUCUGACUGCUCUGUGUAGAUAUGUAAAUGUGAUGCGCAUUUUAGUUUACAAAGCAUUUCUACCAGCUAUGAGUUAUUUAUUCCUACUUUUCUAUGCAUUGUCUUCUGUGUUAGAUAAACCAUGUAAAAUAUUUAAUAAAAUAUUUAACUGAAACUCCUGCCUUUUCUCAUCUGUUCUAACAUGCAUGCCAUUGAGGUGGUGAUAGUAGUGGAACUACACUAUCCUUCAGAAAAUCUGAAGUCUGAAUCUGAAAUUCCUUCAAGCUAAAUCUUCAUAAACUGUAAAAGAAGCCCAUUUUGCUAUGUCACACUGUUGAAAUAAAAGUCUCGCCCUAUAGAAGACAUGGCACCGCA